AUUGAACGCUGGCGGCAUGCCUUACACAUGCAAGUCGAACGGUAACGGGCCUUCGGGUGCCGACGAGUGGCGAACGGGUGAGUAAUGUAUCGGAACGUACCUUUCAGUGGGGGAUAACGUAGCGAAAGUUACGCUAAUACCGCAUAUUCUGUGAGCAGGAAAGCAGGGGAUCGCAAGACCUUGCGCUGAUUGAGCGGCCGAUAUCAGAUUAGCUAGUUGGUGAGGUAAAGGCUCACCAAGGCGACGAUCUGUAGCGGGUCUGAGAGGAUGAUCCGCCACACUGGAACUGAGACACGGUCCAGACUCCUACGGGAGGCAGCAGUGGGGAAUUUUGGACAAAUGGGGGGCAACCCUGAUCCAGCCAUGCCGCGUGAGUGAAGAAGGCCUUCGGGUUGUAAAGGUACU
rnacentral:rRNA from 1 species